GACGUAGGGCGCGAGCGUUGUUCGGAAUUAUUGGGCGUAAAGGGUGCGUAGGCGGUUUGGUAAGUCUCGUGUGAAAUCUCCGGGCUCAACUCGGAGCCUGCACGAGAAACUGCCGGGCUUGAGUGUGGGAGAGGUGAGUGGAAUUCCUGGUGUAGCGGUGAAAUGCGUAGAUAUCAGGAGGAACACCUGUGGCGAAAGCGGCUCACUGGACCAUAACUGACGCUGAUGCACGAAAGCUAGGGGAGCAAACAGG
rnacentral:rRNA from 1 species